AGUGAACGCUGGCGGUAGGCCUAACACAUGCAAGUCGAACGGCAGCACAGAGGAGCUUGCUCCUUGGGUGGCGAGUGGCGGACGGGUGAGGAAUACAUCGGAAUCUACUCUGUCGUGGGGGAUAACGUAGGGAAACUUACGCUAAUACCGCAUACGACCUACGGGUGAAAGCAGGGGACCUUCGGGCCUUGCGCGAUUGAAUGAGCCGAUGUCGGAUUAGCUAGUUGGCGGGGUAAAGGCCCACCAAGGCGACGAUCCGUAGCUGGUCUGAGAGGCUGGUCAGCCAAACUGGAACUGAGACACGGUCCAGACUCCUACGGGGGGCAGCAGUGGGGAAUAUUGGACAAUGGGCGCAAGCCUGAUCCAGCCAUACCGCGUGGGUGAAGAAGGCCUUCGGGUUGUAAAGCCCUUUUGUUGGGAAAGAAAUCCAGCUGGCUAAUACCCGGUUGGGAUGACGGUACCCAAAGAAUAAGCACCGGCUAACUUCGUGCCAGCCGCCGCAGUAA
rnacentral:rRNA from 1 species